UUGUAAAUCAAUGUUAAAUCACUAAUAACAUUUUUAAAAUAAAGGCAGGAUGUUAUUUUCAGAUCCCCUUCUCCACAUCCUAAACACAUAAUUUUAGUAUAAAUUUAGAAAUAUGGAUGUCAACAUUGCUAUUGUAUUCCCUCUGUGCCCAUUAUUAUUAAAUUUUGGAUUUGUUUCUUAAAAAAAAAUAAAAUAAAUAAAUAAAUAAAUAAAUAAAUAAAAUAAAGGCAGGAAGGAAGAGGUCAGAGAAGUAUAGAAGAGGAAGGGCAGAGCUAUGCUUUGACUGCACACUCUGUUCCGGAAGUCAUAUCAGCCUUGUGAAUGUCAGCAGUCAAGGGUGAGUGGGCAGGAUGUAUAACCAGCUUCCUCCUUCUGGGCCCACUUCCUAUAAAAUACCAGCACCAUGUUGACUACUUACUAGUUUGUGCCAUGAAAUUCUGGAUCUCUCUUCCAGUUCUAUUUCUCAUUAUAUGCUGUGAUCUUCAAUCAGAAGCAGGAUGGCGUGGAUAUGUGCCACAGAGGUGCUUACUCCGUCCUGACGUUGGCAUUUGUUUAGGCAAAAUGACACGCUGGUAUUAUGACUAUGCGGCUUCUAAAUGUCACCCAUUUACCUAUGGAGGUUGUCAUGGCAAUUCCAACAACUUUUUGACUGAAGAAAUAUGCAUGGCCAUCUGUGAAGAAUAAGUUCACUAUUAAGAACACCCUGUGGGGAGUCAGGCGGUAGCGCAGCGGGUUAAGUGCACAUGGCGCAAAGCGCAAGGACUGCAUAAGGAUCCUGGUUCGAGCCCCUGCUCCCCACUUGCAGGGGAGUCACUUCACAGGCGGUGAAGCAGGUCUGCAGGUGUCUAUCUUUCUCUCCCCCUCUCUGUCUUCCCCUCCUCUCUCCACUUCUCUCUGUCCUAACCAACAACGACGACGAUGACAUCAACAAUAAUAGCUACAACAACAAUAAAAACAAGGGCAACAAAAAGGAAAUAAAUAAAUAAAUUUUUUUUUAAAAAAAGAA